rnacentral:lncRNA from 1 species
AACUCAGGACACAACCACUGAACGUCAACACCAAUCAAAAUAUGUGAAAAUGAAUUAUUAAUUGAAUGUUACAUAGGAUGGCAUCUAGUCGGAUACACUUUUAAUUAAAAGUGUCGGUGCUAUAAAACACCAAAUAAACUAAAAAUAACAAGCUUUCAAUCUAUCAUUAUUAUCCAUUCAAAUUAGCCAUAACAUCAUAACCCUAUCUCGCAGUAAAACAUAAUUCAUUAAAACACCUCAAUAAUAA